ACCAGAUCGCCUUCGCUUUUCCGUAAAUAAAGAGGUGUCUCUGCUUGGUGUUCGCUUGUUCGGAGACCAAAAUGAGAGUAAAUACCAGGUUACGUUUGAAGUCAAGGAAGCCAAAGUUACCGGAACAUAUACCACUGUACGCAAUGAAGACGACAUCCCUGGUUUUGAUGUCAUGUUAAAGAAACCCAUUGUACUGAAGCAGAACGAACUGGUAACAAUCUCUGCAACAAUAGACGGCCCUGAUUCGUGUCAUGGUGACAAUGGAUUAUCUUCAGUUACAUUUGAGGGGGCUACUGUGACAUUUAAUGAUGAUCCGUCGUCCUACAACAACGGAACUUCUACAUAUUACGGACAAUUUCAUGAAAUAAUACUUGCAAUUUAAUACCCAUGGUUCAUGAUUCAAUGUUGUGCUGCAACCUGCACGGGUUCAGUGUUAGGAACAUGAUAACAAUGUUGUUAAAAGGAUGUUCAGAUCAAAUCAUUUAAAUUAAACAUGCAAUGAUGCAACCACUUAUAAAUAUUAACGCGCGCGGUCGACCAAUUAAUGUGUUUUUUUUUAAUUUAAUAAAUUUGCCCAAAUAUCAUAACUAUUUACAAUAAUAAUUACUAAUAUUAUAUUAUAUUACAGAGGGGCAAAAGGCCAUUGGAAACCUGUAUAGGCUUUUAUUCAUGACCCCAAGUUUUAUCUACUUAGUUAUAGAUGAAUAGCAUUAAGAAAGUUUAUUAACCAGCUAAUUAAAGUAAUUAUAAUGAUAAGGACAGGAUGCAUGGGUUCUUGAUUAACAAGCUUUUUACAAAAUAAACUAAAAUAAUAUAGUCGGGGAAUGUCAGAUGACAAUUUUUUACUAACAAAGUCAAAUCUGAUCCAGCAUCUUCCAACAUGACCGAACACUGUCAAACAGACCCAAUAAUGUAACAUCAAACAAUAUAGACCAACAUGUUGGACUGGUCUGAACAUGCACAUAAUACAUCCUUAAAAAUUCCUAUAAUAUUAACAUUCAUGGCUAUAAUAUUAAUAUUCAUAUCAUCGUCCCUAAUGUGGAAGUUGUAAUAUUUUGGGUUUUUUUAGCUUAUUGCAUGCUAUUACUGCAUUUGUAAUAUAUUUAUAUGGUUGUUAAUCUAACGAGGGUACAGUAAUCCGCUUGCACUGCGGUGGGAGCUCCUUGCCAUAAGUUAUAGAUUAUUUUUCAGCUUAGCCUAAUACAAAAUACAGUAGAUAUUUGUACAUAAAGUAAAUAAAAUCCUCUUUAAAAAAUUCGUUGUCUCGGGCGGGAUUUAAACCUUCAUUGUCCAGUCGACCCAAUGAGCUAUCAAGCCAUAGGGAUUCCAAUUUAAGGGAGUUUUUCAAACAAGUUUUUCAAAUUACGUAACUGUGAUUAUUGAUCAUUUCUUUGGUUUUAAUAACAGAUUUCAGUUUUAAUUAUCAAGAUAAUUGAGUAUACUGAUAAUAGAAUUCAUUUUCAUGAAAAAAAAUUCGGGCUCAUCGAAGUUGUUUUCGAGUUAAAUUACCCGCUUAAAACCAAAAUACCAGCCAUCUUGAAACGUCAUUGUUGCCAUAUCAACGGCAGUUAGAUCCAGAAUUACUGAUCUAAAUCGUGAAUUUUAAAUUUUAAUUUUAACUUUGUUUAGAGCCACUUUAAAUACUCUUUGUUUUAAAUCCUGAUUUCCGAAUUACUGUGGCCCCGAUUACACUAUACCGGAUUGCAUCGAAGCGACGCAAUUUCUGUACCGGUUGGCCUCUUGUUUACACUACGCCACUGUAAUCCGGUACGUGCCGCGGCGCGAAAAUCACUUCGCUUUGGAGGUGAUAUGAAAAGUAAUCCGGUACGUGCUGUACCGGAUAAAACCAAGUGUAAUCAGGCAAUCGGUACGCUCCGGUACUAUAAAUAGGUUUCGGCAAGUAUAUUUUAACAUUGUCGUUUUAUUUACUCGCUUUUAAAUAUUUUAUAGCUGUUGUUUGCUUCGCUUUACAAUUAUUUAUUAUUUCUAGCGAAGACAAAUAAAGAUAGCGGUAAUAACAUUGACUUCUUGCUUUCAAAAGGGCAAAAUUUAAUGAAAUACUCGUCAAUUUUCGAUAAGAGCGAGACAAAGCAACGUCGGGUGGUCAAGCUUUGUAAACAAAGUUAUAAUUCACAAGUACUGUCGAGAAAACGUCCAAAAUGGUCAAAACUUAUUAUUUGUUUCCGUGGCAACGAUAAAAGAUACGAGCUGGCGACAGAGCGAAGCGGCAUAGUGUAAACACCCUUGAUUUUGGCUUCGGUGUGAAAAUUGAUUCGGUAUGAAAAUCAAUCCGGUAUAGUGUAAUCCCAGCCUGUGUAACAUGUGUAUUAAAAACCUAAUUAUAUAACUGACAAAGUUAUGUAAGAAAUGUUGUUAUAUGUUCAACAGUACACCAUUUUCUGUAGCCUGCAUAGCAGGCGUUUUUUUGCGGGACGUUUGGAUUGUUCAUGCCCACUAAAGGCGGUUUUCCACUAGGCGAAAUUUUUCGACCGAAUCGAAAUUUCUCUUUGUUUCAGAGCUCUCGAGCAGAACUAAUUGUAAAAAGACAAAGAGAAAUUUCGUUUCGGUCGAAAAAUUCCGCCUCGUGGAAUCCGGCCUUAAAGCAUAUCAAAUUACGUUUCGCUUUCAAUUAUUCUAUAAUCUAUAUACUUCCGCGAUUGUCUUGCACAAUUCUUGUUCUUGCAUUCAAGUACUCCCGAUAGUAUUCCACAUCUACAAUUCUUGAAAAUGGCCCGCUCUGUUCAAUCGAAUGUGGACUGGCAGUCGACAAAGAACACCAUCUUAGAAAGAAACCGUCAUAUGUUCAACAAUUCAGACAUGAGUGACAUCAGCUUUACUUGCGAAGGUUCAGACAAGACAUUCUAUGCACAUAAAUAUGUCUUGAGCACAAGUAGCGCCGUAUUUCAUGCCAUGUUUUAUGGCGGCUUCGCUGUGAAAGAUUCCAUUGUUUAUUUCUUUAAUAUAGACGAGGAAAGUUUGGAGCAGUUUUUGAGAUUUCUUUACACGGAGGAAUGUACAUUGACCGCAGACAAUGUUGUUGCCACCAUGUAUUUGGCAAACAAAUACAUAAUUCCUUCGCUCAAUGAGAAAUGUGUUGACUUCCUGCUGGAAAUUUUAAAUCCUGAAAAUGUGCUGGAUGUUUUGAAGCAAGCGACUCGUUUUGAUGAGAAAGAAUUAGAAAAACGAUGUUGGAAUGUUAUAGAGUCUAAUGCAGGGGAAGUGGUAGCCUCUGAUAGUUUCAAUAACAUCAGUCAAACGACCUUGGCUAAAUUACUGAAGCGAGACAAACUAAACAUACCAGAAGUAAAACUAUUUGAAGCUGUUUUAAAAUGGAUUGAUUUCCAAUGUUCGCGCAUGAAUUUGAAGCCAACGGGUGAGAACCGAAGGUCUAUCAUUGGCGAGGCGAUAUACGAUUUUCGAUUUUUUGGCAUGAGCCAAAAAGAGUUUGUUGAACAUGUUUCUAAAUCUGGUUUGUUAACUUCGGAUGAAUUAGUUCCAAUUUACGAGAAAUUUCUUGGAAUUAAUUCGCCCGCGUUGAAAUUGAACAAGCUACCAAAUAGGAAGCAAGCAGGUAUAGUUAGAUAUUCCAGAUUCCCGGCAGGACAGGGAACGAAACGUUUGGGUUAUGGUUAUUGGCUAUAUGGUAGCAAACCAGAGCGCCUGCGCUUUUCCGUAAAUAAAGAGGUGUCUCUGCUUGGUGUCCGUUUGUUUGGAGACAAAAAUGAGAGUAAGUAUCAGGUUACGUUUGAAGUCAAAGAAACCAAAGUAACCGGAACGUAUACCUCUGCACGCAAUGAAGACGAUGUCCCUGGUUUUGAUGUCAUGUUAAAGAAACCCAUUGUACUGAAGCAGAACGAACUGGUAACAAUCUCUGCAAUAAUAGACGGACCCGGUUCGUGUUAUGGUGACAAUGGAUCAGUCAGAGUUACACUGGAGGGGGCUACUGUGACAUUUAAUGAUGAUCCGUCGUCCAACAACGGAACUUCUACAUAUUACGGACAAUUUCAUGAAAUAAUACUUGCAAUUUAAUAUUCAUGGUUCAUGAUUUAAUGUUGUGCUGUACCCUGCAUGGGUUCAGUGUUAAGAGCAUGAUAACAAUAUUGUUAAAAGGAUGUUUAGAUUAAAUCACUUAAAUUAACAACCACUUUUAAAUAUUAACGCACGCGGUCGAACAAUGUUGGACGAUAUCAGUCGAUGACAACUUUUUAACAACGUCAAGUCGUCAGCUAUGAACCCGAUCCAACAUAUGCUCACACAGAACAAACAAUCUUGCAUCCAACAAAUGUAGGAUGAUGUUAGACCAACGUGUUGGACUAGUUGGAACAAGGCACAUUACAUCCUUACACAAUUGGUAUACUAUUAUAAAAUUAUUCAUUGCUCGUGAAAAAAUAUUUGAACUGGUAAUCCAUUAUAAUAUUAAUUUAAUUUAAAAUUGUUACUAGGGACCUUAACUAAAAAGCCUUAUGGUUUCUAGAAGGUUCCUAGCCCUAUACUAUUGUAAAUACUUCUAUUUUUGAUUUAUAUGUAAUUUGGGC
rnacentral:lncRNA from 1 species